ensembl:ncRNA C11G6.5 ncRNA
GGUCAUAAGUUCAAGCUCUCAGAUUACUUUGGAAACAAAUAUUUUUGUGCUUUUGUGCCCACGCAAGUGAAGGCGAAAAGUUUGCAUCUGUGGUUUGUGAUUUUGAGAUUGAAAACUCUGACGUUAUUGAUGUUCAAAAAUUUUUUAAA